rnacentral:rRNA from 1 species
AUUGAACGCUGGCGGCAGGCCUAACACAUGCAAGUCGAGCGAGCGGCGGACGGGUGAGUAAUGUGUGGGAAACUGCCUGAUGGAGGGGGAUAACUACUGGAAACGGUAGCUAAUACCGCAUACCAUCAGAUGUGCCCAGAGGGGAUGAGCUAGUAGGUGGGGUAACGGCUCACCUAGGCGACGAGCCCUAGCUGGUCUGAGAGGAUGACCAGCCACACUGUAACUGAGACACUGUCCAGACGCCUACGGUAGGCAGCAGUGGGGAAUAUUGCACAAUGGGCGAAAGGCUGAUGCAGCCAUGCCGCGUGUGUGAGGAAGGCCUUCGGGUUGUAAAGCACUUUCAGCGGGGAGGCGGUAGCCGGAGAAGAAGCACCGGCUAACUCCGUGCCAGCAGCCGCGGUAAUUC